AUGGGCGGCGUGGUUUUACUGUGGGUGUUGAGGAGCGGGAAGGGUGAGGAGGACGAAGGUGGGGGGAGGAGCAGCGAGUCAGGUGAUGGGUUAGGGCCACCGGUCGAGGGGGAGGGGAGGACGACCACUGCUCGCCACCUCCCUGCCUCGUUUGCUGCAUCGUCGCCCUCCUAUCCACUGCUCUUUGUCCUCCGCGACACAGCUCCGGCCACAGUAGCUUGUUGCCUCCCGCUUCCUUCCUUGCAUGCUAACCACUGCCUCACCAGAUUGGUGUUGAACAUAAUAAGGGAUAGAGGGACAGAAAAGAUAUAUUUGUCGCGGCGCUGCAAGUGUUGCCCCCCUCCUCCCCAAGGGCAAGGUGAAGAAAGGUGCCUAUGUGGUUUUUCUGCAGCUCGCAGCGAGGAUUGCUGUGUUCAACCUGCACAAGAAUGCCAAGAAGUCCUUCUCGGAGACGUAAGCCACGGCGCAUGUUUCUGCCAUGAUUUCCUUCGGUUGGAUUUCAUGGAUUUAGGUGUUGAAAAAUUAUGGGUUGUGGAUGCAGGAUUAAGGACAUGUAUCUGCACUACAACGAGAGAUUUGGGCUGCUUCUUUGUGGCUUCCAAACUUGAAAUGUUUGUUUGGAAGUUAGUUUAG
rnacentral:rRNA from 1 species